UCUCACAUGGACGCUGCCCU
rnacentral:miRNA from 1 species